CAGUACAGGAUGUUGAACUGGAAAAUGCCCUGGGGCAGUGUUAUUUCUUAUGUACAAAUAAGACUUGAGGAAAAUGACAGCUAUCUCCAGACAUUA
rnacentral:snoRNA from 1 species